UUAUGGCUCAGGAUGAACGCUAGCUACAGGCUUAACACAUGCAAGUCGAGGGGCAUCAUGGAGUUUGCUGCAAACUCUGAUGGCGACCGGCGCACGGGUGAGUAACGCGUAUCCAACCUUCCCUAUAGUAGAGGAUAGCCCGGCUAAAGUCGGAUUAAUACUCUAUGUUUUCCGUUGCAGACAUCUAAGAUGGAACAAAGGCUUGCCGCUAUAGGAUGGGGAUGCGUCUGAUUAGGUAGUCGGCGGGGUAACGGCCCACCGAGCCUUCGAUCAGUAGGGGUUCUGAGAGGAAGGUCCCCCACAUUGGAACUGAGACACGGUCCAAACUCCUACGGGAGGCAGCAGUGAGGAAUAUUGGUCAAUGGGCGCGAGCCUGAACCAGCCAAGUAGCGUGCAAGGAUGACGGCCCUAUGGGUUGUAAACUGCUUUUAUGCGGGGAUAAAGUUCACUACGUGUAGUGUUUUGUAGGUACCGCAUGAAUAAGGACCGGCUAAUUCCGUGCCAGCAGCUGC
rnacentral:rRNA from 1 species